ACUCCUAASGGAGGCAGCAGUGGGGAAUUUUGGACAAUGGGCGCAAGCCUGAUCCAGCCAUGCCGCGUGAGUGAAGAAGGCCUUCGGGUUGUAAAGCUCUUUCGGCCGGGAAGAAAUCGCAUCGGUUAAUACCUGGUGUGGAUGACGGUACCGGAAUAAGAAGCACCGGCUAACUACGUGCCAGCAGCCGCGGUAAUACGUAGGGUGCGAGCGUUAAUCGGAAUUACUGGGCGUAAAGCGUGCGCAGGCGGUUUUGUAAGACAGGCGUGAAAUCCCCGGGCUCAACCUGGGAACUGCGCUUGUGACUGCAAGGCUAGAGUACGGCAGAGGGGGGUGGAAUUCCACGUGUAGCAGUGAAAUGCGUAGAGAUGUGGAGGAACACCAAUGGCGAAGGCAGCCCCCUGGGUCGAUACUGACGCUCAUGCACGAAAGCGUGGGUAGCAAACAGGAUUAGAUACCCUGGUAGUCCACGCCCUAAACGAUGUMAAARKAGGUGUUGGGAGGGUAAAACCUUUUAGUACCGGAGCUAACGCGUGAAGUGACCKCCUGGGAAGKYCSCCCMAC
rnacentral:rRNA from 1 species